rnacentral:misc_RNA from 1 species
UACUCCGCCUUUCAAUUUGGAGGAAGAGGAUGAGAAUUUGGAAGAUGAUGACGUCUUAGAGGAUGAUUUUGAGGAGGUAGCGAGGCCACCGCCGGCGAAUCGUGGCCGUCGAUUUGUAGUUGAUGAUGAGGAAGACGAGGACGAGGACGAGGGGAGGAAGGAGGUAGAAAGUGAAAGGGAUUUUGCAGAGGUUUAUGAUAUAGAGUCGAGC